rnacentral:lncRNA from 1 species
UGGAGACGGCUACUCUGGUGUAUGACCUUAGAUCUCGACGACCAUCCACUCCGAAUCUACAAUAACUAUCUUCAUUUGGUUAAACAUCAUUGUCUUUUUGUAGAUAUGUGAAAAAGUAGAUGUGGAAGAUAAGAGUUGAGCGAAGAUGAGAAGGGAUUGAGGGAGAAGAAGACCAAGAGUCAAGAGACAAUGAGAAGAAAAGAG